CGAGGUGUAGCAAUACAUCUAGUGGCGGACGGGUGAGGAAUACGUAGGAAUUUGCCUUAGAGCGGGGGAUAGCCCAGGGAAACUUGGAGUAAUACCGCAUGAUGUCGAAAGACCAGAGCAGGGGACCGCAAGGCCUUGCACUCUAAGAGAAGCCUACGUCUGAUUAGCUAGUUGGUAGGGUAAUGGCCUACCAAGGCGACGAUCAGUAACUGGUCUGAGAGGACGAUCAGUCACACCGGAACUGAGACACGGUCCGGACUCCUACGGGAGGCAGCAGUGGGGAAUAUUGGACAAUGGGCGCAAGCCUGAUCCAGCAAUGCCGCGUGUGUGAAGAAGGCCUUCGGGUUGUAAAGCACUUUAAGCAGGGAAGAAAAAACUCGGGCUAAUACCUUGAGCCUUGACGGUACCUGAAGAAUAAGCACCGGCUAACUCUGUGCCAGCAGCCGCGGUAAUACAGAGGGUGCAAGCGUUAAUCGGAUUUACUGGGCGUAAAGCGUGUGUAGGUGGUUUGACAAGUUGGUUGUGAAAUCCCCGGGCUCAACCUGGGAACUGCUUCCAAGACUGUCAGACUAGAGUACGGUAGAGGGCGGUGGAAUUUCCGGUGUAGCGGUGAAAUGCGUAGAUAUCGGAAGGAACACCAAUGGCGAAGGCAGCCGCCUGGGCCUGUACUGACACUGAGACACGAAAGCGUGGGGAUCAAACAGGAUUAGAUACCCUGGUAGUCCGCGCCGUAAACGAUGGGUACUUGACGUCGGCAUGCUCUGCGUGUCGGUGUCGUAGCUAACGCGAUAAGUACCCCGCCUGGG
rnacentral:rRNA from 1 species